GGAAGCGAAACAAAGAACUGGUAUUGCGGUCAGGCAAGUACUUGGCGUCAUAGUACUUGACCAGGACUCCCCAGUGGCAUCUGGAUGGGUCAACUUAGCCCUAGAGAACACGAGAGCCAAAGUCGGGUAAGAGCGUAGCCCGUCCAGGCCAACCUAAGACAGCGGUCUGGACCAACAUCGCCAGAUUAGCAAUGACGGAAAUGGAAGAGCCAACCCUCAAAUUCACUUGAAAUUGCAAGGAGCCCAGGAUAUCCAAAGCAAUCUCGAAAAAGAAGAAAAAGUUGCAGGACUGAGAUUUCCAGAUUUCAAAACUUACAAAGAGAUAAUAUGAUCAGAAGGUAUGCCGUGUAAAACAAAGGGACCACUGUCCUAGCACUUGCCUCAAAUUCCAGUUUCCUAGAAAGUGAUGUAAAGUAGACCACCUGUCGUAAAAAUACACACAGGUAAAUAACUUUUAAUUACAAUAUUUGUGUAUGAGUGACAAGAUGUAUCAAAAUAUUAUAGCUUAUUGAUUGAAACAUGUUACAGUUUGGUAAAAGAUUAAAAUAGUGUGAAUUAUGAUUUUAGAAUAAAGGUAAUAAAAUUUUUUUCCCACCAAUCCAUGCU